GUAGCCAGCAGCAUCUCAAGGAUUUGAGGUGAACUCAUCAUUGUUUGUCGUCUCGCACCAGAUCCAUCUUUCACAGCAAUCCCCUCGGCCACCUCACACCGCAUCCCCCGGGGUCCAUGCCACACCAAAGCGCUGUCCUGUUCCAUCUUUGUUUCUGCCGGUGCUGCUUCUCGAAACACAAAGCUAAGUAACCGACGGUGAUCUUGUUACGCUAAAAAACAAUAAUUGGCCACGGCUGGCUGUGGAUGUUUCUCGGUACUCUCUAGUAUCCAUCGUGCUGCACUUGGGGGGAGACAUACGUAUACAGCAACGUAUAGUUUGCCGUGGAAGUCCUCGUUGAUUGAUUGAGUCCCUCGCUCACGACGGAACGGGAAAGUCCCAUUCAAGGAAAGCGACUGUGAAGACAUGUGGGUACUCCUGCGGACGUCCACUUUAUGCUGCUUCUUUUCCCAGUCGGGAAGCCCCUCUAGAGCUAUCCUAGAAAGCGAGAAGAAGCGAGAAGAAGCGAGACCUUUGCUUCGUGGAGCAAGCAAUGGGCGAUGGGUGGAUAGAGACAUCGAUCCAAUCAAUAUCGCGAGAAGGAAUGGCGCACUUCUUCUUCCACAGGAGCAAAAGAGGGGACGUAGCAAAAAAAAGGAAGAAAAGCGGGAGACAGGGUGGUGAUUGCGAUCAUCCGAUAUGAAAUCGUCCUGUGGGACAAAGAGGCAGCGCAAGGGGAGGUUCCCAAACAUGGACAAUUUUUGUCGUUCCAGCGCACGACCGAUGCUGUGCAUUAUUUCGCGGCCACCAACAACACAUAUAACUAUAUAUGCUUCAAAGAA